GACAUGCAUUCCCCUUGUGGCCGAAACCCUGGGAGGCUUAGCAGAGGACUUCAUCUCAACCAUCCGUGAUAUCGGCAGGUCAAUUUGUCUCCGCUCAGGCGCGGACCGAGACUCAGUCACCAUUAAACACCUCUUUGGGAGAGUCAGCAUAGCCCUUUGGCGAGGGAAUGCUUCCAUGCUCAUUCACAGGUCACCAACUCUAUCACCUGUGCUUGAUGGGCAUACCUAAACUUACUAUAUGUUUGUUCUUCAUAUCUUUACCUUACUUAGAUUUCAAUUUAUAUCUGUCUACCCGUUUGUACUUACCUUAACCAUAGAUACUGUACACUCCGUGGAUGUGAAACGUAGGUAGUAUACGGGUAGAUUACGGAGUAUUCGUGUUCACUCACUGCAACGGCACCCAGCUGCAGAAAUGGACACUUUUAGUGUUGUUUUUCUCGCACAGCUGCGCACUUGUGGCUUCAGUUGAGGAGAAGGUCUGCUGUACUCGUAGGUGGGAGGUAAUGCUCAUCACCAAAGGAAGCGGAAAGGAGCAUAAUUAUUCCCUGAUGCAAGACUAACAAACAAGUGUACGAGCACAAGUAGCGAUAAGACGAAGAAGAAUCCUCCUUCAACUUUAAAUCAGUUUUAGUUGUCCAUUUAGUUGUCUAUUACUAAGUCUAUCUCCGUGCGUGGAUGCCUGCCUAUAUAAUAUUCUGUGUGCAUACAUGCUGUGCUAUAUAUACAAUGUCAUCACAAAAAUUAAGUCAGCAGUGUACAUGUAGCUAGAUCUAGAUUUGUCAGGUUCCAAUAUGAUUUCUGCAUGUCCACUUUCAUUCAUGAACAUCUCUCUUGGCUCUCCCUACGCAGAGAAUCAGUUAGCACUGGAAGAACUUGGACUGGGAGCUUCAGUUAUCCGCGUAGUUACUGUUAUUAUUGUAUCCAUGCAGUAGAUUCCGUAUACUAUAAGGAAUUCCGGAUACUCGGUCUGUGUCAUCCGUUGCAAUGAGUGUUUCAGGACUUUUGGUAGUGGGCGGAAGUGUUUCACAUCCACGGAGUGUACAGUUUCGCCAUAAAGGCUAAAAAAAAAAAAAAAAAAAAAAAAAAAAAAAAAAAAAAUUAGUCAGAUUCUGACUAAUGGAUAUUCUCGUUCACUUUUGUGACAUUUAUAUUUGUGUACUAUCGUGUACUAGAAGUCAGUUCCCGUUUUAUCAUUAUUGGAAUGGCUCUUAGCUGAAGCUUCUCUUUUCUCUGAAGCUUAGAAAACAUUAUUCUGAAGACUGAACAACAAGGGAAGAGGUAUAAAGCUUUGUCAAGCUUGUUAAGGUCAGACAUUUUUGUGUGGGCCCUGUGCUAUCAUCAUGUUUGGCAAGAUCUAGGUACGUAGACUAUAGUUUCAUCAUUAAUAUGGUGGAUCAAGUGAAGAGUGUGAGCUAGAGAACUUGGUGCUGCCAUCAUCAGCUCGUCGACAAUGACACUAUAACCUGUUUAAAAUACGAGAAAUUUAAUAUAGAUCUACACGUAUUUAGAAUGUCUACUUCUCUGUACAGGAGCAAUGGCUAAUAUCCAGCUAUCCCAACAGUGCUCCUCUUGGCUAUAGUAAUGGACGAGACUGGACAGUUUAAGGACUGGAGUAUGACCUGCUCGUUCGAGCGUUGCUGGGUAGCUCAGAGGCAUCAAGAGAAUCUACGUUUUCUCAAGCAAAGUUUAACUGAGUUACGAGUUGGGGCCUAGAAUCAGAGAAGUCCAGCAGCCUGCUAAAUCGUUGAAACGUAAUUUGAAGACAUUCAAUCAUCUUGAAGUUGCCCUGGGUCACUGUAAUCGUGCUGCAGCACAACUGGCAACUCCCCAGGCCCUUGUGAAGCAGCUCCGUAUGUGCAUCUUUUGUGUGUACUCACUCUGUGCAUUUUCUGUGUACAAAUUUCUAUUAUUGAUUUAUUAAAUAUUUUUGCCGACCACAAAUACAAUGAAAAUUUGACGCAUGUGCAGAC